rnacentral:misc_RNA from 1 species
ACGGGUUUUAAUUGUUAGGUUAGAGUUGAGCUGGUUAAUCUAAUUAAUAUGUGCUUACUCUAAUCGAAACAAGUCCACUUAUUACUUAACACUUGUGAACUUAUUCAUUACAAACAUUAUUAUUUGUUAUUGAAACGUUUGAUUAUUAAAAAGUUAAUA